CGGGUGAGUAAUGGAUAAGUAACCUGCCCUUAAGUGGGGGAUAACACUUCGAAAGAAGUGCUAAUACCGCAUGUGGUGCUCUUUCACAAGAAGGAUCACUAAAACCGCAAGGUGCUUGAGGAGGGGCUUGUCUCCGAUUAGCUAGUUGGUGGGGUAACGGCCUACCAAGGCGAUGAUCGGUAGCUGGUCUGAGAGGAUGGUCAGCCACACUGGGACUGAGACACGGCCCAGACUCCUACGGGAGGCAGCAGCAAGGAAUCUUGGGCAAUGGGCGAAAGCCUGACCCAGCGACGCCGCGUGAGGGAUGACGGCCUUCGGGUUGUAAACCUCUUUUCUCAGGGAAGAAUAAUGACGGUACCUGAGGAAUAAGUCUCGGCUAACUACGUGCCAGCAGCCGCGGUAAUACGUAGGAGGCGAGCGUUAUCCGGAUUUAUUGGGCGUAAAGUGGGCGUAGGUGGUCUUUCAAGUCGGAUGUGAAAUCUCCCGGCUCAACUGGGAGGGGUCAUCCGAUACUGUUGGACUUGAGUACAGCAGGGGAAAAUGGAAUUCCCGGUGUAGUGGUGAAAUGCGUAGAUAUCGGGAGGAACACCAGAGGCGAAGGCGAUUUUCCAGGCUGAAACUGACACUGAGGCCCGAAAGCGUGGGGAGCGAACAGGAUUAGAUACCCUUGUUGUCCACCCCUUCAACUAUAAAAAAAAAGAAUAGGG
rnacentral:rRNA from 1 species